GUGUAUUGCGAGAAGAAGGAUCUGGAAAGUUCCGUCAGAGAGGGUGAUAUCCCCGUAUUCGUAGCAAUGCAUGGCCUAGCGGUAUCCUGAGUAGCGCGGGACACGAGUAAUCCUGCGUGAAUCCGCCGGGCCCAUCCGGCAAGGCUAAAUACUCCCGUGAGACCGAUAGUGUACCAGUACCGUGAGGGAAAGGUGAAAAGCACCCCGACGAGGGGAGUGAAAGAGAUCCUGAAACCAUGCGCCUACAAGCGGUCGGAGCCGCGUUUUACGCGGUGACGGCGUGCCUUUUGCAUAAUGAACCUACGAGUUGCCGUCGCUGGCGAGGCUAAGCGGCUAAGCCGCGUACCCGCAGUGAAAGCGAGCCUGAACAGGGCGUAUAGUCAGCGGAGGCAGACGCGAAACCGAGUGAUCUACACAUGGCCAGGGUGAAGUUCCGGUAACACGGAAUGGAGGCCCGCACCAAUAAGCGUUGAAAAGCUUCUGGAUGAGGUGAGGGUAGGAGUGAAAGGCCAAUCAAACUCGGAGAUAGCUCGUACUCCCCGAAAUGCAUUUAGGUGCAGCCUGCUACGUUCUCUCCCAGAGGUAGAGCGACUGAUCGGAUGCGAGGGCUUCACCGCCUGUCAAGUCCGGACAAACUCCGAAUGCUGUGAGAUCAAGAGUAGUGGAGUGAGGGCAUGGGUGCUAAGGUCCGUGCCCGAGAGGAGAAGAAUCCAGAUCAUCGGCUAAGGCCCCGAAUUGGAUGUUAAGUUAGCCUAACGCAGUGCGGUUCCUGUGACAGCCAGGAUGUUGGCUUGGAAGCAGCCAUUCAUUCAAAGAGUGCGUAACAGCUCACUGGUCGAGGGACUGUGCGUGGAUAAUAAUCGGGUAUUAAACAUUCAGCCGAAGCCAUGGGAUAUAUAUAUGUUAUAUAUCGGUAGGGGAGCAUUCCAUAUGCGUAGAAGAUUUAUGGUGACAUAGGUUGGAGCGUAUGGAAACGCAAAUGUAGGUAUAAGUAACGAUAAGGAGGGUUAGAUGCCCUCCCGCCAAAAGACCAAGGUUUCCCGGGCAACGUUAAUCGUCCCGGGUUUAGUCGGGUCCUAAGGAUAAGCCGAGCGGCGAUGCCGAUGGCAAAACGGUUAAUAUUCCGUUACCGGCUCCAUACAGCGAUGCGGCGACGCAGUAGUGACACUCUCGCGAGCAGACGGAAUUGCUCGUUGAAGGCAUUAGGUUUAGAUGGGUGCAGGCAAAUCCACACCCAGAGCUGACUGCCGACAGUACAAGAAGUCUUCGGACGGAUUGACAGCAGAGGUAAUCCGACUGCCAAGAAAACCCGCUAAGCGUUAUAAAUAUGUGAGCCGCCCGUACCGUAAACGGACACACGUAGUCGAGUAGAGAAUACUAAGGCGCUUGGAAGCUUCACGGUUAAGGAACUAGGCAAAAUAACCCUGUAACUUCGGGAUAAAGGGUCCUCAUGCGAAUGAGGCGCAGCGAAUAGGUCCAGGCAACUGUUUACCAAAAACACAGGGCUGUGCGAAUUAAAGCGACGAUGUAUACAGCCUGACACCUGCCGGGUGCUGGAUGGUUAAGAGGAGAGGUCAUCCAUAUGGUGCAGCCUUGAAUUGAAGCCCCAGUAAACUGCGGCCGUAACUAUAA
rnacentral:rRNA from 1 species